CAGUCGCCGCGGGAACACGGAGGGUGCAAGCGUUAUCCGGAUUUAUUGGGUUUAAAGGGUCCGUAGGCGGACUUAUAAGUCAGUGGUGAAAGCCUGUCGCUUAACGAUAGAACUGCCAUUGAUACUGUAAGUCUUGAGUAUAUUUGAGGUAGCUGGAAUAAGUAGUGUAGCGGUGAAAUGCAUAGAUAUUACUUAGAACACCAAUUGCGAAGGCAGGUUACCAAGAUAUAACUGACGCUGAGGGACGAAAGCGUGGGUAGCGAACAGGAUUAGAUACCCCCGUAGUCCCUGUCUCUUAUAC
rnacentral:rRNA from 1 species